GAUGAACGCUAGCGGCAGGCCUAAUACAUGCAAGUCGAACGGUAAGGCCCUUUCGGGGGUACACGAGUGGCGGACGGGUGCGUAACGCGUAUGCAACAUGCCUUCCAGCGGGGGAUAUACCAGGGAAACUUGGCGCAAUACCCCAUAGAAUUACGGGACCGCAUGGUCUUGUGAUUAAAACUCCGGUGCUGGGAGAUUGGCAUGCGUGACAUUAGCUAGUUGGCGGGGUAAUGGCCCACCAAGGCUUCGAUCGGUAGCCGGCCUGAGAGGGCGGACGGCCACACUGGAACUGAGACACGGUCCAGACUCCUACGGGAGGCAGCAGUGGGGAAUUUUUCGCAAUGGGCGCAAGCCUGACGAAGCAACGCCGCGUGGAGGAUGAAGGUCUUCGGAUUGUAAACUCCUGUCGACCGGGACGGAAUGCACUCGACCUAAUACGUCGGAAUGUUGACGGUACCGGUGGAGGAAGCCACGGCUAACUCUGUGCCAGCAGCCGCGGUAAUGUGUGAC
rnacentral:rRNA from 1 species